rnacentral:rRNA from 1 species
GAUGAACGCUGGCGGCGUGCCUAAUACAUGCAAGUCGAGCGGACGGACGAGAAGCUUGCUUCUCUGAUGUUAGCGGCGCACGGGUGAGUAACACGUGUAUAACCUACCUAUAAUUCUGGUAUAACUUCGGGAAACCGGAGCUAAUCCCGGAUGAUAUUUUGCACCGCAUGGUUCAAAAGUGAAAGACGGUCUUGCUGUCACUUAUAGAUGGAUCUGCGCUGCAUUGGCUAGUUGGUAAGGUAACGGCUUAUCAAGGCAACGAUGCAUAGCCGACCUGAGAGAGGGGUAGGCGACACGAGAACGGGGCCAGGGUCAUGAGUCCUACGAGAGGCACCAGUAGGGAACCGGCGGCAGUGGGCGGGAGCAUGGCGGAGCAACGCGGAGUGAGAGAUGAAGGUCUUCGGAGCGUAAAACUCUGUUAUGAGGGAUGAACAGAUGUGUAAGUAACUGUGCACAGCGUGACGGUACCUAAUCAGAAAGCCACGGCUAACUACGUG